GACGAACGCUGGCGGCGUGCCUAAUACAUGCAAGUCGAACGCACUGGGGACGGGUGAGUAACACGUGGGUAACCUCCCAUCAGAGGGGAUAACACUUGGAAACAGGUGCUAAACCGCUAUCGAUGGAUGGACCCGCGGGGCAUUAUCUAGUUGGUGAGGUAACGGCUAACCAAGGCCACGAUGCAUAGCCGGCCUGAGAGGAUGAUCAGCCACACUGGGACUGAGACACGGCCCAGACUCCUACGGGAGGCAGCAGUGGGGAAUCUUGGACAAUGGGCGAAAGUCUGACCGAGCAACGCCGCGUGAGUGAAGAAGGUUUUCGGAUUGUAAAACACUGUUGUUAGGGAAGCGGUAUCUAACCAGAAAGCAACGGCUAACUACGUGCCAGCAGCCGCGGUAAUUC
rnacentral:rRNA from 1 species